UGCUCGUGUGAGAUGAAACAUCUAAAGGCAGGAAGUCUUUAUUCCUCCUGGGGCAUUCUUUUUUUUUCUCAGUCUUUGUCACACUGUAUCCUGUUUUUCUUCUACAACCAACCACCAACUAACAAUACAAGGAAGGGGGUCUGCGCUCUGUCUAGACGAUGGUCUGUCGGCUGUGGUGGAUCAGAUUUGGUGUGGAACCAAACAACAACAGCUGUGACCACCUGACCUAUCUGGCUGAGGUUAAAUGAGAGUCCCACUCGUCUGGUUCGUCCUGCUCUUUAACUGAUCACUACGAACCUGUAUUCUCUUGAACUCCAUUAACACGCGACUACAGGGGUAGCAAAACAAUUUGUAAAAUCGAGACGGCGCUCAUCAAACUGCAAAUGGAAGGAUUCAAACUAGCAAUUUACAAACCAGCUGGUGAGGAGCUACAGUUGUGGCCAGAUGUUCCACAGUAAGACCAAAAAAACAUAAGGUUUUUGCUAAUUCAUCCAGUAGAUGGUAAGUAAUUUCUAUAAGUAUAUCCUCUAUCUAUAACAUCUAUCUUUGGUCCACCAUUUGUUGACCAUUGCCACCUGAAGAAAGUCCUUACUUCCAUCAAAGGUCAUCAGAGGUCAUGUGUUUAAGCAGGUUUGUUUGUUUGUUUGAGCAACACAACUCAAAAAGGGAAGGAAAGAUUUUUGGUGAAGAAUUCUGGAGAUUCAGUGUAUGGAUGGUGAUCUGGACCCAGAUCUGGACCCAUCAGGAUGGUCUACUGACACUGUGGAAA